UUCAAGAACUUCCGACAGAAGUAUGGCGACAUUUUCAGUCUGUAUGUUUUCCACAAGCCUCUCAUCGUCCUCAACGGCUACAACGUUAUUAAAGAAGCCAUUGUCAAGAACGCCGACGUCUUCUCCGACAGACCGCGAUCCUUUGUGACCGAUUUCUUCUCAAAGGGAAAAGGAGUAGUCGGAACCUCCGGGGACUUGUGGCAUGAACAGAGACGAUUUGCUCUCAAUGCUCUGCGAGAGUUUGGAAUGG